rnacentral:rRNA from 1 species
GGAUUGAAGGCUGAAAUUCGCCUUCAUGAAGCCGGAAUUGCUAGUAAUGGCAGGUCAGCAUACUGCCGUGAAUACGUUCCCGGGCCUUGUACACACCGCCCGUCACACCAUGAGAGUUGGGGAUACCCGAAGCCUGUGAGCCAACAGAAUACUGAGGCAGCAGUCGAAGGUAGAAUCAAUGAUUGGGGUGAAGUCGUAACAAGGUACC